UGGGGAAUCUUGGACAAUGGGGGCAACCCUGAUCCAGCCAUGCCGCGUGAGUGAUGAAGGCCUUAGGGUCGUAAAGCUCUUUCGCCUGUGAAGAUAAUGACGGUAGCAGGUAAAGAAACCCCGGCUAACUCCGUGCCAGCAGCCGCGGUAAUACGGAGGGGGUUAGCGUUGUUCGGAAUUACUGGGCGUAAAGCGCACGUAGGCGGACCAGAAAGUUGGGGGUGAAAUCCCGGGGGCUCAACCCCGGAACUGCCUCCAAAACUAUUGGUCUAGAGUUCGAGAGAGGUGAGUGGAAUUCCAAGUGUAGAGGUGAAAUUCGUAGAUAUUCGGAGGAACACCAGUGGCGAAGGCGGCUCACUGGCUCGAUACUGACGCUGAGGUGCGAAAGUGUGGGGAGCAAACAGGAUUAGGAUACCCUGGUAGUCCACACCGUAAACGAU
rnacentral:rRNA from 1 species